rfam:Collimonas fungivorans Ter331, complete genome.
AGCCAGGGCACGGCUCCGCGCAAGCGGUGAGUGCCCGCAGGAUCAGUCGGCGAGUGCCUGCACAUGAAAAAACCCCGACAACC